rnacentral:rRNA from 1 species
AGAGUUUGAUCAUGGCUCAGGAUGAACGCUGGCGGCGUGCCUUAGGCAUGCAAGUCGAACGGCGUAGCAAUACGCAGCGGCGGAAGGGUGAGUAACGCGUGGGAACGUACCUAUUGGUGGAGCAUAGCUCGCCGAAAGGCGGGGUAAUUCUCCAUAUACCGUAAGGUGAAAGAUUUAUCGCCAGUAGAGCGGCCCGCGUCCUAUCAGCUUGUUGGUGGGGUAAUGGCCUACCAAGGCAAUGACGGGUAGCUGGGCUGAGAGGUCGGCCAGCCACAAUGGAACUGAGACACGGUCCAUACAUCUACGGAUGGCAGCAACCGGGAAUCUUGGACAAUGGGGGAAACCCUGAUCCAGCGACGCCGCGUGGGGGAAGAAGGCCUUCGGGUUGUAAACUCCUUUUGUAGUUCAUAAGAACUAAGAAUAAGCACCU